rnacentral:rRNA from 1 species
AAUAGAUACCCUGGUAGUCCACGCCGUAAACGAUGAGUGCUAAGUGUUAGAGGGUUUCCGCCCUUUAGUGCUGCAGCAAACGCAUUAAGCACUCCGCCUGGGGAGUACGGUCGCAAGACUGAAACUCAAAGGAAUUGACGGGGGCCCGCACAAGCGGUGGAGCAUGUGGUUUAGUUCGAAGCAACGCGAAGAACCUUACCAGGUCUUGACAUCCCGUGACAACUCUAGAGAUAGAGCUUUCCCCUUCGGGGGACACGGUGACAGGUGGUGCAUGGUUGUCGUCAGCUCGUGUCGUAAGAUGUUGGGUUAAGUUCCGCAACGAGCGCAACCCUUGAUCUUAGUUGCCAGCAUUAAGUUGGGCACUCUAAGGUGACUGCCGGUGACAAACCGGAGGAAGGUGGGGAUGACGUCAAAUCAUCAUGCCCCUUAUGACCUGGGCUACACACGUGCUACAAUGGAUGGUACAAAGGGCAGCAAAACCGCGAGGUUAAGCCAAUCCCAUAAAACCAUUCUCAGUUCGGAUUGCAGGCUGC